GAUGAACGCUGGCGGCGUGCCUAAUACAUGCAAGUCGAGCGAACGGACGAGAAGCUUGCUUCUCUGAUGUUAGCGGCGGACGGGUGAGUAACACGUGUAUAACCUACCUAUAAGACUGGGAUAACUUCGGGAAACCGGAGCUAAUACCGGAUAAUAUUUUGAACCGCAUGGUUCAAAAGUAAAAGACGGUCUUGCUGUCACUUAUAGAUGGAUCCGCGCUGCAUUAGCUAGUUGGUAAGGUAACGGCUUACCAAGGCAACGAUGCAUAGCCGACCUGAGAGGGUGAUCGGCCACACUGGAACUGAGACACGGUCCAGACUCCUACGGGAGGCAGCAGUAGGGAAUCUUCCGCAAUGGGCGAAAGCCUGACGGAGCAACGCCGCGUGAGUGAUGAAGGUCUUCGGAGCGUAAAACUCUGUUAUGAGGGAAGAACAGAUGUGUAAGUAACUGUGCACAUCUUGACGGUACCGAAUAAGAAAGCCACGGCUAACUACGUG
rnacentral:rRNA from 1 species